UACUGGUUAACAGGCCUUCCUAAAUUGUGGGAUCCAUGCUUUUUCCCAAUUAUCAGGCCUACAACAUUCACUUGGGGAAAUGGGAGGAGAGGGAGAGAAGCAAAGAUCCUGGCACCCACUAUGAGAGGAAGAAAUGAGUGAAUAGGUAUAUAUCUUUUCAUGAAAGAAAAUAGUUUCUUUCUAUCAUAGCUCUUGAAUUCAGCUUGCCUAAGACCUGAGGACUUCUAAAUUCAAGUUCCCUUGACUUACUCUCAGAAGGAUUUGUCUGCUCUAUUGUCUUCUCUGACAAUAUCACCCAUCAAUCAUCCAUUCUUAUCAAGAGGAAAGCAUCAGGACUACCCUCUUUGGUCCUCCAGGAGUGACAGGCACUACACUGAGGGCUGGGAAUACCAAAUCAAGCAAACAAGACAGUCUCUGCCCUUAAGGACCUAACAUUCUAAUAAGAAAAGAUGGGACAGAAAAAGGAGUCAAAGUUGGAAGAAUGUGAGUGGAGGCAUGACUUGGAAAGGCUUGGGGAGUAUCUGGUGGCCUGAUGCCAGACGAGAUGUUUUGUCUCUCUCAUGAUGGAUAAUUCUUUUUUGGAUGUGGGGAGCAUAGAAAGGGUCUGAUUUCUGAUGAAACUCCUGCUCAGGUACCCAACGAGAGCAACCCAGGGGCCCCAGCUAUGACAAGAAACGAGGCCAAACCAGUAUCCAGUCAGCCCCAACCUGGUGUCCAGGUAGCCUGGGCCUGAACUACAACAGGAAACAACACCAGGAAAUUCAUGAAGAAAGUAGGACCUUGUCUUAGCUGCUGAACUCAGGAUCAAGCAGAGUCUGCCUAUAUCAUCUAGGAGUCCAGGAACUGAGUUUCACCCAAGCAGAAGAACCAAUAUAAAAACUGAGACUAGAUGUAAGAGGAAACAGAAGAAAACACCAAUCACAAUGAAGAAAUACCUUGGACUGAGAGAUGCCCAAAGGGUAAACCUAGAAGAGAAGUUGAGACAAAACUUCAGAGAAAAGAAUGUCCUUGCCACAAAGAUUACAAGAGCACCAGGAAGAAAUGAAACAAGAUACAAAAUGGGAUAGCUGGGGAAGAAAAAUGUCAAGGAAAGCUAAUACCAUAGAACAGAUAGUAGUAAGCUUUACCCAAGAAUUUAACUCCUUAAAAAUUAGAAUGGGUCAAACAGAACACAUGGACUCUGUGAGAAAGACAUCUAGAAAUAUUCAAACAAAAUCAAAAGAUUGAAAACAGGGAAGAAAAUGUCUGAUCUGGAUACAGGUCAAGGAGAGAUAAUCUUAAGAAUCAUUGGACAACCUGAAAAUUAUGACCAAAGCCUUCUUGGUUUGGAAUUGCUAAAGUAGAUCUAGAAAUUUUACAAAGAGGUAUGAAUAAACUUUGGUAUUUUGUUCAUAUCAAAUUAUCUCAAAUAGAAUUAGAAACUGCUUGAACUGGAUGAUUUUAGCACCUCUUUUAAUAAUUCUUUUGUUCUCACUUCCCUGAGAUUCCUAAGGCAAAGUUUAGCCUCUGACUCCUGAGGUACAGAUUUUAGAAGUUGGAAAAACUGAUAAAACUGAUAAAAUAUAGCUGGCUACAUCAGAGAUGAGACUUUUUUUUUGUACGUAAGGGAGAUGUGGGACACUGUUUUGCUGCUGUAAUUCUACAAGUUCAGCCUACAAAUUGGUCUUUGUUGGGUCUGGGUCACCAGUUGCCACAGGACCACAGGACAGAAAAGGAUACUUCUCAGGCAGGGAAGCACUGAGAGAACCAGUACUCAUGAUCUUAGCUUCACCAUCCAUGACCGGUCAUUUGUGACUUCAAUCUCCUUCAAUAAAUUGGCUCCAGAUAUA